AAGUGAACUAGGAAUACCUGAUGGGGAUGCUGUGCUGUGGACUUUCUGGAGUCUGGUGACUCAUAACCAUCGUAUCCUUACACCCAUGAAAAAGCUAAAGAGAUACUCUCUGGUUGAUCUCAGACCCCAUGGAGGCAUAUCAUGUGAUUAAGAAGGUAACUGGAUCUCUAAAUGCAUAGAGUUUGGUUGAUGAAAAUCUUGUAAUUGCACCCAGAAAUGUGCUGGAAAGCAGCACUGGCUGGAAUAAAUCAGAGUAAUCAAUACCAUGUGACAAAUUCUU
rnacentral:lncRNA from 1 species